rnacentral:rRNA from 1 species
UAGGGAAUCUUCGGCAAUGGACGAAAGUCUGACCGAGCAACGCCGCGUGAGUGAAGAAGGUUUUCGGAUCGUAAAACUCUGUUGUUAGAGAAGAACAAGGACGUUAGUAACUGAACGUCCCCUGACGGUAUCUAACCAGAAAGCCACGGCUAACUACGUGCCAGCAGCUGCGGUAAUAUGUAGGUGGCAAGCGUUGUCCGGAUUUAUUGGGCGUAAAGCGAGCGCAGGCGGUUUCUUAAGUCUGAUGUGAAAGCCCCCGGCUCAACCGGGGAGGGUCAUUGGAAACUGGGAGACUUGAGUGCAGAAGAGGAGAGUGGAAUUCCAUGUGUAGCGGUGAAAUGCGUAGAUAUAUGGAGGAACACCAGUGGCGAAGGCGGCUCUCUGGUCUGUAACUGACGCUGAGGCUCGAAAGCGUGGGGAGCAAACAGG